GAGUCCUCACGGACGCAAUUUCUUUUUCCCUUCUCCCUUCUAAUUCUCACGCGACCCACGCAGACCAGUUUCUCCUCAGUCUCGAGCCAACGCUCACGCGACCCACGCGAGCUCCCGGCGGCGGCGGAGGUACUGCUCCUGCCCGUCUCCUCCUUCUCCAGCGGCCCCUUCACGCCCCGCCUCCCUCCCCUCUCACCCCUCUUCCUCGAUCUCCGCCGGUCACCUGCAGACCGUGGGCCUAGGCGGAGGCGACCCGGCGACUGGCUCAGGCGGCGGCAGUCUCCAGCAGCACGCGUGGGCAAGAACAGCAAGACGAUUGGCGAUUUCCACCCCGAUCUGCGAUUUCCCUUCAGAACUAGAGGUAAAAAUUGUUGGAUUACAUCAAAGCAUCGUGCUGCCUGAUUCUGGGCUGGGUGAUGCCAGUAUGGGGAGAACAGUGAAGGCAGUGAGCUGAUGGUGAUUCUGAUAUUUUAGAAAAGGGGAAAAGAUUUUUCAUGCUGAUGACGCUGUAUAGGAAUUUAGCUUACUUUAGGAGUUGCAACAGAGGAGCACACGGUUCAUCAUUGUAUUCUGUUUCAAAGGGUUAAUUUCUUCCUAGAGACUGUUUGGUCUUCUGUUGUGGUUCUUCUGUGUUGAUGCUCGUCGGCAGAGGAACAUAAUGUGGGUGGGAUCAUAGAGAUCUCCAAACCCUCCAUGACUCCAUCUGUAAUUUUAUUCUAUCUGAAUGCAAAGCUAUAUGUAUUACCUCAUA